AUGGCCGUGACGCUCUCCACUCCAGCUAGCCCCCCGCUGCUAAAAAAAAAACUGAAAGCGACGCAUUCAGGGCGCGGAUGGCGACAAGAAGGGCUGCCGGCUGCCGCUUCUUCAGCGCGGGCCCUACUACGACGUGGUGAUGACACUGAUAGCGUAGCAGCGAUCUUGAAAAAAAGAAACAUGACGGCGAUAGCGUGGCAACCAUACUCUACUCCCCGCCAGCAAUGGCAAGCCAGAAAACAUCAAACAUCUCGGGCCGGGAGGAGACCGAUACAACUAAAAUACGUCGACGUGCCCACUCGCACUCGGGCCGGGCCAUUUCCAACUGCAUUUUUAUUUUAUUAUUACAUGCCCUCCCAGACUAGUCUCCCGAUCCAAGCAAGCAAGCCGUUGCUGUCAUGUCACCUCAGAGCUGACCUUUCGCCGGGCCGCUGUAAGCCUCUUGAACUGAGAGCAAGAGCAGAAGCCCAUGAGAUGAGACGCAAGCAAAAUAUGCAAGAAAAUGGCACAAUCAUGAUUCAGUUUGGUCAGCAAGUGCCUAACUGCGAGUCCUCAGCUAGCGAUUCUCCUCAAGAAGUGUCCGGAAUGAGCGAAGGGAGCUUUAAUGAGCAGAAUGAUCAAUCUGGUAAUCGCGAUGGCUAUACGAAGAGUAGUGAUGAAGGCAAGAUGAUGUCGGCUUUGUCUCUGGGCAAUUCAGAAAUGGCAUACACACCGCCAAAACCUGACCGCACUCAUCCCUUUGCCAUAUCAUACCCAUAUGCUGAUCCUUACUAUGGUGGUGCAGUGGCAGCCUAUGGCGCACAUGCUAUUAUGCACCCCCAGAUGGUGGGCAUGGUACCAUCCUCUCGAGUGCCACUACCGAUUGAACCAGCUGCCGCCGAAGAGCCCAUUUAUGUGAAUGCGAAGCAAUACCAUGCCAUUCUCCGAAGGAGACAGCUCCGCGCAAAAUUAGAGGCUGAAAAUAAGCUGGUCAAAAGCCGUAAGCCGUACCUGCAUGAGUCCCGGCACCAGCACGCGAUGAAGCGGGCUCGGGGAACAGGCGGGCGGUUCCUCAACGCAAAGGAGAAGUCUGAAGCUUCAGGCGGCGGCAAUGCAUCAGCGAGGUCUGGCCACGCCGGCGUUCCCCCGGAUGGCGGCAUGUUCUCGAAGCACGACCACACCUUACCAUCCGGUGACUUCCAUUACCGCGCGAGAGGGGGCGCCUAGGGUGGGCACGCAGUUGCCCCCUGGCAAAUCAUCCUUGGCUUAUGUGUGUGGCGAAUGACCGUCAACUCGGUCCAGUGAUAUUGUAAAACUGAAUUUAGAGUCUGUGCAAUUGUGUUACUUGGGGGUUUGGUAGACAGCCCUUGUGUUUGGGGAGGGGACGAUGCAGCUGCAGCUGCAGCCGGUUCUCUUGUUGUGGUAGGUUUGUGUGGCAUGGCAGGUGCUGCUAAGCUGGAGCCUGCUUGAACUGUUUUCCUGUCACUUUGUUGUUUGGGGUAAUAAUGACCAUCUUGUAUGAUAUUAGUACUGACUUGGAGUAAGUAAUAACCAUUCCCGGCGUGAUGCAUUUGCGCCCGUGGUGGUGUUUCUGUUGA